CCCUGACCACCAAUAUGGGAACUCAGGUAAUGAUAAUAGCCAUGACUUAUUGAGAACUUACUGAAUAAUAAGACUUUUGCAUACAUUAUGGUGGCCAGCUAAGAGCUGUCUCCUCAAACCCAUUUGCCCCCUCUUCACCGUAGUGAGCUGUCACCAUGGGUGCGCAGCUGCUCCAGGCACAGACAGGGAGCCCCAUGCAGUGGAUGACAGAGCUGUCCCACCUGCCAGGGUCCUUGAAUGGUCUCGUGGCACAGAUCCUGCUGUGGGCAGUUACUGGAGAGGCAUAAACUUCCAUUUGAGGAAUCUGUUUGAUUGGGCACUUUAGUCAAACACCAACUAAUAUAAUUACCUCAGCUAAUCCCUAAAAAACACAGGGGAACUAAGAUGUAAGUACCACCUACCUCAUUGAGUUACUGUAAGGAUGAGAAACUGCAUGCAGAGUCCUCAUAUACACAUUUUCACUACUCCUAUUUGAAAACAUUUGUACUAUUAUUAGCCCCAUUUUACAGAUAAGAAAGUGGUAAAUAAAAUGCUCAAGACCGUAUAGUUAAUGUGUGGUAGCGCCAGAGUGGGAACUUAGACAUCCAGCCUUAAAACUGAUCUUUUAACCUCUGUGCUAUUCUGCUUCCAGAAGGAUGAAAUGAGAUCAUACAUAAAGAGCUUGGCCCAGCUGAGGAGCCGUCACCUAACCGUGCUCAGGAGUGCAUCAUGGUUGAGAGUGUGGGCUGUGGAGGUGAUGGGCAUCCAAUGGCAUCCAAUUCUGCCCUGCUAGUAUUAGAUUUGUGCUUAGGCAGAAACCUUGGUUUUCUCAUCUGUGAAAAGAGGGUGAUACUACCAACCUUAUAAGGCUGUAGUGAAGAUUAAAGGAAGUAACAUGUACCAACGGCUUAUGACCGAGCCAGGCACAAGGCAGCGUUCAAUGAUGCAAGCAGAGGAAGAAGGGAACAGCUGGGGCUUCCUGCCCGUUUCCUCUGUCCUAACAGCUCCUUUUUGCAGACACUGGGAAUCAAAACCAAAACGCAUGCAACCUUCCACCUUGAAGAACAGCACCACAUCAUCUCUUUGCUAAGCCUGAUUCCCGUUUUCUGGAUAGGAAACUGACACACAAAGUAUCUCCAGAAUCAUAUCAGAGGGUCCCGGUGAACAUCAAAUGAAGAACUAUGUGUAAGCGCCAGGUACAGUGUACCUGGCACGUAUUAGGUUUUAAUAAACGGCAACCAACUCUGACUAACGGUUGUCCCUGGGGAACACCUGCCAGGCACAGAGGGAGGCCCUACGGAGGCGCAGGGCAGAACUGGGCAGCAGCCGUCUAGGGAAGUGGCGGCGGAUUAGAGAAACGGGCGGCCAGGCACAGGCACCCCCUACGAGUGAGAUCUGGCCCCUCGAGCCAGAUCUCCAGCCAGAUGCCUCCAGCAUCUGCUGCCGCGGAGAGCACGCACCAGGUCCCUCCUGCCCGGCAACAGGCGCACUCCGAGCGAGCCCAGCGCCUCUGCUCACCAUGCCAGGUCCCGCUGCCAGAGGCCUAGAGGAGAAGCCCAGCUAGGGGCCGGCGUCUGGACGCCCGUGUCCCGACUGCGCGGGACUCUGCACUCUGAUGGAUCCAGUGGCGCCACCCAGACCAGUAAACUGGCUCCUCUGGUCUUGUGGCCACCAUCCAGGAGCUGACUCAGAGCAAGAGGACAGCCUGGACUCCCUGUGAUUUCAUCCUCAACCCAACCAAUCAGCACUCCCCAUUCCCUAGCCCCCUGCCUGCAAGACUGUGUUUCAGGGAGGCUAAUGUGAGUAAUAAUAAAGCUUCAGUCUUCCAUUUAGCCUGCUCUAUGUGUAUUAAACUCUUCCAUUCAGCCAACUCUGCAC
rnacentral:lncRNA from 10 species